CCCAAACGCCGAUCCCAACUCGACCUUUACCCUCUCUGCCGACGCGAAUUUCCGAUCUCCUUCCCCGAUCUCCCCUCUCUUCUUCCCGAUCGCCUCCGCUCGUCACCGAUCACAGCCGCCUGUGCCGGUUGUCCAACCGUCGGCCGAGACCCCUUCGGAUCUAGCCGAAGCCCUUUCUCUCUCUCUCUCCCUUCUCUCUGUUCUCUUUUGCGGACAGUCGACGCCGACGCCGACAGGAUUAGGGCUCCAGCUCCGGCGAUCGUUGGUGUCACUUGAGGAGGAAGCUGCUGGAUUGAGCGCAGAUCCGGCCGACGCCUUUCAUCUCCGGGCUGCAGACAUGCGCGUCUUCUUGCGCCGAUCACUGAGGCCAUUGAAUCGAGCGAGAUCCACUCGGUCGCCAAUGUGGAAGAGCAAUUAGGGCUUCAAGGGUUAGGUCAUGGAUUUCUUCCUUGUUCUUGUUGAUUGAAGGUUAGAGAAGUCCCUGGUGUGCAGAAUCUAAUCGAGCAACACCUUUUGGAGACGAUCGAUUGAGGGCAAAGACUAGAGGGGUUGAUGCUUGAUCAGUAGUCUUACUGCUUGAUUCCUUCUUGAUUCGAAUUGUGGAGUGGAAUCAAGCACCUUGCUGUUCUGUUUAUGGUGUACCUUGUUCCAUAGCUACUCAUCUCACGUUCGGCAGCAACCUAUCCAGUGAGGUGAAUCCAGUGAGGAUUUGUGAAGGUAAUUUUGGUGUCCUGCAGCAUUUCUAGUUUUGGCAGCAACCUCAUUUAGCAGAUUGCUUGGUUUCAGCAAUCUACAGCAGCUUGAUCAAGGUAAGGUGUAUAGGUUUUGUUCUUUGUUUUAGAUAUGAUUUGAUUUCAUGAACAGAUGUAGAUUGGAAUUAGGGUUAUACUUAGUUGUUUAUGUGUAGAAUUAUUUAGUUUAGAAUUAGUUUAAUGGAAUGAUUAGGGUUAAGGUAAUUAACCCUAGUCAACCGUUGGAUUUCUAAUCUAAUGGGAGAUUAGGGAUUAGAUAACUA